UACGAAGGGUGCAAGCGUUACUCGGAAUUACUGGGCGUAAAGCGUGCGUAGGUGGUUUGUUAAGUCUGAUGUGAAAGCCCUGGGCUCAACCUGGGAAUUGCAUUGGAUACUGGCAGGCUGGAGUAUGGUAGAGGAAGGUGGAAUUCCCGGUGUAGCAGUGAAAUGCGUAGAGAUCGGGAGGAACACCAGUGGCGAAGGCGGCCUUCUGGACCAAUACUGACGCUCAUGCACGAAAGCGUGGGGAGCAAACAGG
rnacentral:rRNA from 1 species